UACGUAGGGGGCAAGCGUUGUCCGGAUUUAUUGGGCGUAAAGAGCGUGUAGGCGGCCAUGUAGGUCCGUUGUGAAAACUCGAGGCUCAACCUCGAGACGCCGAUGGAAACCAUGUGGCUAGAGUCCGGAAGAGGAGAGUGGAAUUCCUGGUGUAACGGUGAAAUGCGCAGAUAUCAGGAAGAACACCCGUGGCUAAGGCGGCUCUCUAGUACGGUACUGACGCUGAGACGCGAAAGCGUGGGGAGCGAACAGG
rnacentral:rRNA from 1 species